rnacentral:rRNA from 1 species
UGGGGUGCCCAUACUGAGGGGGUAACACCUGUUCCCAUUCCGAAUACAGUAGUUAAGCCCCUCAAGGCUGAUGGUAGUGUAGUCGUAAGGCUAUGUGAGAGUAGGUAGGUGCCCCUU